rnacentral:lncRNA from 1 species
CCUGAACUUGGGAACCACCGUAUGCCAUGGGUGCACCCCUAAAAAGACAAAGAAAAAAAUAUCUCUAAUCUGGACAUGUGUAUUUACAUGUAGACUAUAGGUACCAACGUGGAUCCACGACACGAUGUUAAUAGGGCUUUUGAGACAGCCUCCUGAAAAACCCAGGACAUGUCGGGGCUGUUGAGGCUUCUCUAUUGUUAUAGACUGAAUGUUUGUGCCCUUCCAAAUUCAUACAUUGAAGCUGUAACCUCCAGUGUGGCCUCUAAUGAGGUAAUUAAGGCUAAAUGCAGUCACAAAGGCAGGGCCCUGAUUUGUUAGGAUUAGUAUCCUUCAAAAAAAGAUGAAGUAUAGUUGAUGUACAAUGUUGUAUUAGUUUCGGUGUGCAGCAAAGUGAUAUGUGCAUAUAUAUUCUUUUUCAGAUUCCUUUUCAUUAUAGGUCACUACAACAUAUUGAAUAUAGUUCCCUGUGCUACAUAGUAGAUUCUUGUUGUUUAUUGAUUUUACAUUCAGCAGUGUGUAUCAGUUAAUCCCAAACUCCUAAUUUCUCUCCCCCUUUCCCCUUUGGUAACCCUAAGACUCACAGCCAUAGGCUUAUGUCAUUUUUAAGAAGAGACACCAGAGAGGGUACUCACUUUCUCUCUACACACACACGCUGAAGAAAGUCCCAGUAAGGACAUAGGAAGAAAGCAAAGAUCUACAAGCUAGGAAAAGAGUCCUCACCAGUAAUCAAAUUUCCAUCACUUUGAUCAUGGGCUUCCAGCAUCCAGAACUGUGAAAAACUAAAUGUCUGUUGCUUAAGCCACCCGGUCUGUGCUAUUCUGUUAUAGCAGCCCAGGCAGAUCAGUUUACACAUUAAACCCAACAACAACAAUAGCAAAUUGGAAUGAAUCUAGAAGUGCAUUCCAAGGGUAGUUCUGCUUUAUCCCAAUCUCUUCCGUUCUUGCAGAGCUAGGUGAAGUGGACAAGAAUUUCAGUCUGAAUUCACGUGUCUACUGUAAGACGUUAAACCUACCAUCCACCUGCUUGACAGCUUGUAAAUCUGUCUUUAACAUUGGUAAUUACAUACUGAAACUAAAAAAUAGAAAGUGUAAUAUAGUCAAUUUUCUUCAAAAUAGCUAUGUGCCAAGAAAAAAAAAAAAAAA